rnacentral:rRNA from 1 species
GUUGACCUCGGAUCAGGUAGGGAUACCCGCUGAACUUAAGCAUAUCAAUAAGCGGAGGAAAAGAAACCAACAGGGAUUGCUCUAGUAACGGCGAGUGAAGCAGCAAUAGCUCAAAUUUGAAAUCUGGCGUCUUCGGCGUCCGAGUUGUAAUUUGUAGAGGAUGCUUCUGGGCAGCCACCGACCUAAGUUCCUUGGAACAGGACGUCAUAGAGGGUGAGAAUCCCGUAUGCGGUCGGAA